rnacentral:rRNA from 1 species
GAUCAUGGCUCAGGACGAACGCUGGCGGCGUGCUUAACACAUGCAAGUCGAACGGUAAGGCCCUUCGGGGUACACGAGUGGCGAACGGGUGAGUAACACGUGGGUGAUCUGCCCUGCACUUCGGGAUAAGCCUGGGAAACUGGGUCUAAUACCGGAUAGGACUCCUGGCUUCAUGGUUGGGGGUGUAAAGCUUUUGCGGUGUGGGAUGGGCCCGCGGCCUAUCAGCUUGUUGGUGGGGUAAUGGCCUACCAAGGCGACGACGGGUAGCCGGCCUGAGAGGGUGACCGGCCACACUGGGACUGAGAUACGGCCCAGACUCCUACGGGAGGCAGCAGUGGGGAAUAUUGCACAAUGGGCGCAAGCCUGAUGCAGCGACGCCGCGUGAGGGAUGACGGCCUUCGGGUUGUAAACCUCUUUCAAUAGGGACGAAGCGCAAGUGACGGUACCUAUAGAAGAAGGACCGGCCAACUACGUG